UACGGAGGGUGCAAGCGUUGUUCGGAAUCAUUGGGCGUAAAGCGCGUGUAGGCGGCUUGGCAAGUCAGUUGUGAAAGCCCGGGGCCCAACCCCGGAACUGCAUCUGAAACUGCCUAGCUAGAGUCCCGGAGAGGAAGGCAGAAUUCCCGGUGUAGGGGUGAAAUCCGUAGAUAUCGGGAGGAAUACCAGCGGCGAAGGCGGCCUUCUGAACGGUGACUGACGCUGAGACGCGAAAGCGUGGGGAGCAAACAGG
rnacentral:rRNA from 1 species